rnacentral:rRNA from 1 species
CAUAGCGACUAUCGUGGCAUAUCAAUAAGCGGAGGAAAAGAAACUAACAAGGAUUCCCUAGUAACGGCGAGUGAAGCGGGAAGAGCUCAAAUUUGAAAUCUUAAAGGGUUUCCCUUGACGAAUUGUAGUUUAUAGAAGUGUUUUCUGUUAGUGGAGUUCGGUAAAAGUUCUUUGGAAUAGGACAUCAUAGAGGGUGAGAAUCCCGUAUUUGACCGUUACUUUCCUAGCUGUGUGAUACACUUUCAAAGAGUCGGAUUGUUUGAGAAUGCAGUCCAAAAUGGGUGGUAAAUUUCAUCUAAAGCUAAAUAUUGGCGAGAGACCGAUAGCGAACAAGUACCGUGAGGGAAAGAUGAAAAGAACUUUGAAAAGAGAGUUAAACAGUACGUGAAAUUGUCAAAAGGGAAGCGUUUGACACCAGUGUUGUUUUUCCGAAAAUCAAUUACGAAUGUUUUAUUUUUGAGGAGUUAUGACUUCAUCGGCUUGCUCCUUUCUUUAUGAAACUUUCUUAAUGCACUUUUCGGUUAACAAGUCAACAUCAAUUUCUUUUGUUGUAAAAGGGUAUGAGGAAGGUGGCUUUCUUUUCGGAGAAAGUGUUUAUAGCCUUGUGCCUCUGCAAUCGGAGAGAUUGAGGUCUGCAGCGUAGAUCCUUCGGGGUUAGAUACAGUUUGUGCUAAGUUAUAGCUUUUCAUAGACAACUUGUUGACUAUGUUUAGUCUUGUAGCUUACUCGCUGAUGCUAUUUUACCUACGCUUAGGAUGUUGAUAUGCAUGACUGAUAU